UAGAACGGCGGACUGUUAAUCCGUAUGUCACUGGUUCGAGUCCAGUCAGAGGAGCCA
rnacentral:tRNA from 3 species